rnacentral:misc_RNA from 1 species
UGUGAUACAGCAAGGAGAAUAUGAAUCCUACCAUCGUGACAUGAUAUUUGCAUUUGGCACCUGGGAAUUAGAUCCUAUGGAUCUGGAUAAUCCAUUCCCAAACAAUAAAGUUUCUGUUCAUCUAUGGCAAGGAGAUGAAGAUCGUUUGGUUCCUAUUAAGUUGCAGCGCUACAUUACUCGACAACUUCCCUGGAUUCAUUAUCAUGAGUUACCUGGUUCCGGGCACUUUUUUCCUUUCAUCGAUGGGAUGUCUGAUAAGAUUAUAAAGGCAAUGUUAACUGGAGAGUAGCGACCUUCUGCAUUGUUGAUGGGCUACCUCAGGUCAGAAUUUUUUGGGUGGUCUUCUUUGUUGUCCGAGCUGAGCAUUUGAAAUUUCUGUUACUCAUUUUGUUGUGUAAGAUAAAUUUUGUACUAGUGUCUUAUGAUUGAAUAUGUGGGAUUUAUUUGGAUUUAAAUAUUGGUUGUGCCAACCUGGAAUGGUUGUUUUGAGUGAGUUGGCAAUCGUUGAGCUGUAGAAAGGAUGAACUGACCGAUAUGGAUCCUCAGUUUAUCUGCUGAGUGGUCUGAUAUCAAUAACAAUACAUGCACAAUUUGUGUCCUGCAUGUGAAAUGCUUCUGAUUGAUUAAAUAGUUAGUAGUGCCC